AGCAGGAUCAUUCUUGGAAGAAAUCUUAACAAUUUCUUUCGAUUAAUUAACUAUGGAUUUUGUUGGGAAUCCUCCUUAGACGGCGGCAGCUUAAAACCCUGUUUGCCUGGUCUCCUUCUCACUGGUUCUGUGUCUCGCAUUUAAUCGUGCUUGAGUAUCAGGCUGGUGGGCGGUUGGGCACAAAGAGUGUGGGGGAUGUUGCUCUCCAACCGUUCGAAACAACGCUCAACGAUGGAUAUCUCGGCUUGGUGAUCGAUGAAGGACGCAGCAAAGUGCGACAAGUGUCAUGACUUGCAGAUACCCGAGAGCUGACAAAUUUCUGAAUGCAAAUUGCAGCCAAGUUAACCUGGCUAUGCAUUGUAGAGAGUACUUCGCUUAUGCGCUCCAUCCAGGGCUGAUCAUUACAUCGCCCCAGGGUCUUGCAACCUUGUUCCAUCUUCUCUCUUUAAUUAGAGAGUUCACAACAUAAUACGAUGGGCGGGGUUGUCAAAGGAAGAAAACCAUCGAGUUUUCCCGAAUAUUAUAUAUUUGAGAUAGAAGCUAGAACUAACCUUCUCUUCUCUUCUCACCUCUCACCUCUGCAAUGCAGGAGAACCCGCUGAACUUAAGCAUAUCAUUGAGCGGAGGACAAGAAAACAACUGUGAUUCCCUGAGUAACUGCGAGUGAAUAGGGAAAAGCCUAUGCUUGAAUCCGGUGUGGAUGGAAUCGGAAACACUGGAAUUGUAGUGCAAGGGUGUAGAGCGAGAUGAGCCAGUCGGAAGAAUCGCUCAGGAACGAGCAACCAAUGAGGGCUAUCGUCCCGUAACCUCCGACGCGGCCGUCUCACAUGCUUUGCUCCCCAAGAGUCGGGCAGUUUGAGAAUGCUGUCCAAAACCGCAGGUGUACUCCUGCGAAGGCUAAAUAUUUCACCAAGACCGAUAGCGAACAAGUAGUGUGAACGAAAGAUGAAAAGUACUUUGAAAAGAGAGUGAAAAGUCCUUGACAUUGUUGGGCGCAAAGGGUAUGAGACCCAUUGUAUGCUAUUGCUUUUCAGCGAAAGCUGUCAAUGCGGGUUUCCGGCUUCUGCAGGUUGUGAUUUGCUUCCGCGCUUCGGCGUGUAAGAGACAUGGCUGUUGCAGAAAGUUGGAGACUUGGCAGAGUCUAUUAGCCGAUUGCAUUUGAUUUUGAUUGUGUUUGUGUUGUCGAAGCAUCUUCUUUCGUGGAGGGUCUUCCCGAUAUAAACAUUGUCACCAGGUGCAGUCGAGCUGUAGAAUCAUUGACCAUUUAAUGGUCUCUUACCACCCGUCUUGAAACACGGACCAAGGAGUCUACCGAAUGUGCGAGUGUUAUGGUGAUUGAAACCAAACGACGCACAAUGAAAGUAAAGCCUGUGAACCGCGACGGAGAUGGUCGUUGGUGCAACAGGGCUCGGUCCUUAUCAGAAGAAAGGGAUCUGAAGUUGAGCACAUUCGCUGGGACCCGAAAGAUAGCGAGCUUUUCCUGGGCCGAAGGAAGCCAGGGGAAACCUUGGUGGACGUUCGAAUGCAGUGCUGACGUGCAAAUCGCUUGUCAGAUCUGGGUAAAGGGGCGAAAGACUCAUCGAGCUAUCUAGUAGCUGGUUCCCUC
rnacentral:misc_RNA from 1 species